rnacentral:lncRNA from 1 species
AGAAGAUGGAGCAAAGGCAACAUGUAUUAUACAGAAAAUGUAAAUCAAUAUAAGCCAUUUGAUAAGCAGAAUAAUUAUUGGCAGGGCAGCUGGGCUUAUUUUACCAACUUAGCAUCAGUUAUCAAAUAAUUGGGGGGGGGGUUCACCUGUAUAAAAACCACCCUGCUAGCCACUACUAGGUCUUAAACAAAAAUACCCCACAUCCAUAAGUGGACUUCAGCUGGCCUCUACAUGUACAUGUAUGUAAAUAAUAUCUGUAAUCUAAUAUUCUUAUUUCUAUUGAUAUAUUUGUAAAUCAAGAUAUAUGUAGGUUGCCACUUUCUUUAAAAGUUUACAAUUUUUAUUCUUUGAUAUAACUUAUCCACAUUCAUACCUACACAAUUUAGUCCUUAUAACUAUAUUUUUAAUUUUUUUCUGCCAGGAUGAAGAUGUUUUUUAAUAAUUAUUUUGACUACAUUCAAUACCCAUAGAUUUAUUUAACAUCAGCUAGUGGGCCCCCACUUAUGAAAAUUUCUGGAUCUGCACCUGAUAAUCAUAUUUGUACUUAAAGUCUACCACCAGUUCCAUGUUGUACAGUUUGUCCAGAAAGAGUCUUCAACAAUUUUUUCCAAUUAAGUUGGUUCAGCAGGGGAUGCAAGUACAACUGACAAAACAGAGUAAGUAAAGUAAAAGUACUCGCAUAUCAUUCUGUUUUCUAGCAAAGACUAGAGAGUGAAGUUCUCAGAAAGCGACAAAUUAAAUAUGAUAGUAAUAAAUUGUUAAAUGAUAGUAGAUGCAUAACUAAAUCAAUACUUAUAUCUUUCUUAGAUUCACCAUAGUUUGAUUUAAAGUAAAUCUUUUUUUGGUGCAAAUGUGGUAGUUCAAAUACUUUGUGCACUAAUAUGUGUUAGUUUUCCUUUUAGUUUUCCAAACAAAUGUACACAAAGAAAGAAUAGAUAGGGACAUAGGCUCAUACAAACAGCUGGUGAAAGUUUUGCCAAGUUAUUUGAAUCUGUUUUUUUUUUAUUAUUCAUUUGUAAAGGUAGAAAUCAUAGUUAUGUAGUUUAUGUCCAUGUGACAUUAUCAGACAAAAAAAUAUUCCCUGAAUUUUUACAAAGGCCAAAUGAUACCAUGAUGGAUUGCUUGACUGUAAGCUGUCAAUAUAAUGAAUACACUGAAAUUAAGAACACUUUAAGUUCUAGACAAUCAAACAAAUUAAUAUUUGCAGGGAUGAUUCCACUAUAUAGAUUAGGGCCGCUUUACGGCCCUUAAAUCUGCCAGCGUCCCCAAAAAAAUGAUUGUAAAUACAAAUUCCCAAUUCAUGAAAUAAAACAAAAAUCAGUAUAUCCGGAAAAGUUUCCGUCACCGAUUACGGCAACUAUAAUUUUUCAUAGUUUGUCGUCAAAACGUAGAAAAUCCGGAUAAGAAUGCUGACUAUGAUCGCAUUUUAUUAACAACGAUUCAAUUAUGCAUCAUGAGGUAAACAAUUUUAGCAGCCGGAUUUAAUUGAAGUUAAAAUGUUAUGGGAGUAUUUGGUCUCGUAAAAGUAGAUCGCUCAGCAGGUUGUUAAAAAAUAUGCUCUUUGUCAAAAUGAGUGUCAAAACAGACCUCGACAAAGAGCAAAUUCAAAUUUUGAUAUAACAUUGAUGAAUGAAUUUUAAUGGUAAAAGCAGAUCUCCCAGCAGAGCCGGUUAUGAAAUUUGAUUAAAACUUGUUUUGUAAAAGAAAUUAUUUGAUAUUUUGCUCUUUUUUUCCGCAAAAGACAAAAGUUUGAGCGUUUUGAAAAUAAUGUUGAUGAUAGACCAUUCAUGAAAUGAUACCCCCCCCCCCCCCCCCCUGAAGUACGAUGUCAUCAUUAUGGAACUGUUUCAAAAGAUAUGAAAAUGUUCCAAAUAAUUUUAAAGUUCACUGGUUCAAUUGCUUUAAAUAUCUUAUCAAUUAAUUAUAUAUAUAUACUUUUGUAAUUGCUUUUCUGAAUUCGACAAUUGGUCAGUUCUAUUUGAAAUACAUUUAAAUCAAGGUAAGUUUAUAAAGAUGAUCUGUUGAAAACAUACCCAAUGGAUGAUUGUUUUCACUGGUUAAUAUGGCAAGCCGUUUUGCUAUUUAAUCUAACUUCAAGAUAUAUAACAAACUUUAUAAGAUAUCUUAUAUAUAAGUUCAUUAGAUAUUUGAUAUAGUUUGAAAGAUAUCUUAAAUAGUUCACGAGAUAUCUUAAAUAAUUUAUGAGAUAUCUUAUAGUUUAUAAGAUAUCUCAUUUAAUUUUCUUUAUCAGAUAUCUUAUAAAUUAUAUAAGAUAUCUUAUAAACUAUAUAAGAUAUCUUAUAAACUAUAUAAGAUAUCUUAUAAACUAUAUAAGAUAUCUUAUAUAAAGUAAAUUUGUACGACAUCUUAUAUAAAGUAUAUUUGUAAGAUAUCUUAUAUAUAUUUUAAAAUUGAUAUUAGAUAUCUUCUAUAUUGUAUAAGAUAUCUAUUUUAUAUAAGAUAUCUUAUAAAAAAUAUUAUUUAUGAUAUCUUAUAUAUUAUAAGAAAUAAUAUUAGAGAUAUCGUAUAUAAAUUAUAAGAUAUUUCAUAUAAUUUUCUUAAUAUGAUAUCCAAUAAAUUACAUAAGGUGUCUCAUACAAAACAUAUUUAUAAGAUAUUUCAUAUACUUUAAGAUAUCUUAAAUAAAUCUUAUAUUUUAUAUGAGAUAUCUUAUAUAUUACAUAAGAUAUCUUAUAUAUUAUGAGAUAAUUUGAAAUUCGAAUAAAAAGCUGAACGGCUUGCCAUAGGUUUGUGUUAGCUGGUACUUGUGGUAUAUAUGUUUUUGUAAUAGGCCUUGUUUACCAAAGUUUAGAUGAUAGUGCAUCAUAUGCAAUGAUAUUCAUGUAUUACAACUCCCCUGGUCUGAAUCCAAUAAUUUCUUUAAUCAGUGUACAGGUGAAAUUAACUUAAUAUUCAUUUUCAGUUUUUACAGGAAAAUGAUAUUAUUUCGUCUUAGAUUGUAUGCAUAAAAAAUUCCCAAUUUGAUAUUCAAGGGACCCAUUUGAAAACACCUAGAAUCAUCCCUGAUUUGAAUAAGUACAAAUGUUUACUUUAUACUGAACAUGAAAAAUUAUAUAUAUUAUAUAAACUCUUAUUAAAUGUUUAUGACUUAACAGAAAUGUUGUUAUAAUUCUCAUUAGAGCUAAUAUCCUAAUGCUUGUAAAAUAAGACUUUGGUCGGCCUGCCUGCAAUGUUAGCUCAAUCAUUGAAAUUAAGAUUGACAUCUGCAAACAAUAUAGAUGGGCAUAGUUAUUUAAACUUGUAUAUUAUAUUUCAAUUUAAUUGAAUGUUAUCCCAAUAGCAAUUGUACAAUAUACAAACAAAACAAGCAGGCUAACCAAAUUCUUUCUCUACAUACAUUAGGAAAUUAGCUCUAACUACUGCUUCUAUAAUUUCCUUUCAUUUUAGCAGUUAUGAUACUGUUAUGCCAAAAGAUGACUUAAAGGGGCAUCUGGAGUAAAAAGACAGACAACUGAGUAUAACAUGAAAUUAUUUAUAUCAAUCAAAUUAUAAAAUAUUUGACAAUUUUAUUUUUUAACUAGAGUUUAACACAAAUGUUUAAGACUGAUUAACUUCUCUAAAGUAGUACAUUACAUACUGUCAAAGUUUUAUUCACAAAAUUCAUAACGCUACAUAGUACUGAAGUUUUAUAUAGUUUGUAAAUGUUGUGCUAUUCAUAUACAUCUUCUGUGUCAUUACUCUAUUUACAUGCAAACACAGGAUCAUACAAAUCAUACAUAGUAAACAUUGUAAAAAGAUGUUCAUACAUGUACAGUGUAUGUAGAAAUUUAGUCAAUAUCUAGCUAUAGGAGUAAUUAAACAAUUUUAAAAAUACUGUCUUUAUUUUUAAGUUAACAUUAAUCUAAAUUGCAGUUCUUCAAAUGACCAUGAUCAUGAGUACAGUUGUAAAUUGUUAAUUGAAGAAGAGGAAGAAGUUGAUGGACAGGAAUACAGUAAUCAGACAAAAACAAUUAUGCAUAUGUUGAAUACAACAAGUGGAUUUUUUUUUUAACUAUGCCAGUUUAUUAAGAAUAGACCUAAUUUGUAUAUACAUGAUGAAGAUAAAUACAUCAUAAAAAUAUUUAAAUUUGCUUUAUUCUUUUGCAGGAAACCAAGUAUGAAAUUGAGAGGGUUCAGUAUUUCUAGCAUAUUAUAGUAUUCAUUUAUACUUGGGAUUGCUAUACAACUAUACAAACAGCUGAUCAAGCACAAGCCAUCAUUUGUUACUUUGGAACUCAAUAAUUACUUUAUCUUUUGUUUUUGCUUCAAUUUACUCAUUUGGCCCUAUGUUGCUUCUCACUUUUUUUUUUUUUUUUGCUUGAAGAUAAAAUUUAUGAAUUUAUGCUCUAUAAUAACAAUGUUCAUUAUAUAUAAGUCUGUAAAUAAGGGAAAUACACUUGUUGUAUGUUGGUUCGAAUCCAACUGCAGACGAACAAAUGUAAGCUAGUUAAGCUUAUGAAAGCAUUUUUUUUUUAUCAUUUUACAAAAAAGCAAUGAUUUUUAGGAUAAUAGCUUCUUUAAUAAUAAUUGGAAAAAUAACUUGUAUAUUUUCCUACAGACUUUUGUUUUUUAUUUCAAAUAAAUAAAGAAACACAAUUCAUUUAAUUGGCAUUUAUGCAAAAAAAAAAAAAUAGAAAAUAAAAUAUAAUACAUGUAAAAUUGAUCAGAUUGAUAUUAAAGAAUGCUUUCACAUUUUGCUUUUCACCUCUUAUAGUGUUGAAUUCACUAUUAUUUUCUACAUAUUGGUGUUGGUGUUUAAACUAACAGAAAAAUAUACCAAACUGGAUGUUACUCUCCAUCUGCAUGAGAUAGUAGCACAUACUUAUUUGUAGAUUUUUAUAUUAUUGUAUUUUUGGCUAAAACAAAAUGCAUAUGAUAGAAAAACAAAAUCAUGUACCAUAUGUGUAGCAUAAAUUAAAAUGCACAGACACUGCAAAGUCAUAUAAACUUACAGUUUGGUUAACACAUUUUCUAAAAAGGCUGUAACUUAUUUGUUUUCAAUAAACAAUUACUGUAGUGGUAGCCAUAAUUUGCCACCUGAUGAGUACCCUUGGCAGGGACGAAACAGUCAACCUACAUCUUUACGUUAAAGAAAAGAUAUUACUUGUUUAUAUAUUGAUACAUUGAUAUUUUCAGUAGGUGUUGAUUUUUUUUAUAUAUAUUAUUGUAUUUUUGGCUAAAAUGAAUUAUCUGAUGCACUCCUACAUAAUGCAUUUUAAUCAAAAUAUCUAAAAUCUGUCUUUUUUUUUCUUCAAAUAUUACAACUUUAACUUUUUGAUUCGGAUCCCAAUUGUUGUUUCAACACAUUUUUUUACAAUUAUGAGUAGACUUAUAUUGCCAUCUUAUAGUCAACAGGGAAGACUUUUAACUGCAGAAACUGAAAUUGAAAUACAAAAUGGUGCAUAUUUGUUGGUUCUUAACCUGAUUUUAAAGACUGUUCCUAACUUUCUAAAAUUUAAGUUUUUGUUACUCCUCAGGUCCAUACAUGUAGUUCAUAUGCAUACUAUGGACAGGAAGCUUGAGAUUGAUUUUGGUCCCAAUGGUUUAGGAAUUAGGGCCAAAAAGGGGCUUAAAUAAGCAUUUUUAUUUGUUUUUGCACAAUAACUUUAGUAUAAGUGAAUAGAAAUUUAUGAAAUUUAAACAUAAGUUUCAUGACCUCAAAAGGAAGGUUGAGAUUGAUUUUGGGGUUUUGGUCCCAACUGCUUUUGAAAAAAGGGCCAAAAAGGGGCUCAAAUACAUUUUGUAAGCAGUUGAUUUUGUUUUUCGCUCAAUCACUUUAGUAUAAGUAAAUAGAAAUCUAUAAAAUUUAAACACAAGGUUCAUGACCACAAAAGGAAGGUUGGGAUUGAUUUUGGGGGUUUGCGUCUCAAAAAUUAGGAAUUAGGGGCCAAAAAGGGACAUAAAUAAGCAUUUUUUCUUGGUUUUCACUCAAUAACUUUAGUAUAAGUAAAUAGAAAUCUAUAAAAUUUAAACACAAGGUUCAUGACCACAAAAGGAAGGUUGGGAUUGAUUUUUGGGGGUUUUGGUCCCAACAGUUUAGGAAUAAGGGACAAAAAGGGUCCAAAAUUAAACUUUCAUUAAAAAUUGAAAUAUAGGGGUUAUUUGAUAUGCUGAAUCUAACUGUAUAAUUAGAUUCUUAAUUUUUGGUCCUGUUUUCAAAUUGGUAUACAUUAAGGUCCAAAGGGUCCAAAAUUAAACUUACUAAUAGUUUGAUUUUAACAAAAACUGAUUUCUUGGGGUUCUUUGAUAUGCCAAACUUAAACAUGUACUUAGAUUUUUUCGAUUAUGGGCCCAGUUUUCAAACUGGUCUAAAUCGAGGUCCAAAAUUAAACAAAAAUUGAAUAUAUGGAUAUAUAUUUGAUAUGCUGAAUCUAACCAUAUGUAUUUAGAUUUUUUAUAUAUAUUUUGGACCAGUUAUCAAAUUUGUCGACAUUGAGGUCUAAAAGUUUCAAAAUGGGAACUUUAUUAGAUUUCUUCAAAAAUUGAAUUCUUGGGGUUAUUUGAUAUGCUAAAUCUAAAAAUGUAUUUUGAUUUUGGAUAUUGGACAAUAAUAGGUAAAUUUCAAAUUCAAUUUUAGACCACAUUCAUUCUGUGUCAGAAACCUAUUUUGUGUCAACUAUUUAUUCACAAUCCAAAUUCAGAGCUAUAUCAAGCUUGAAUGUUGUGUCAAUACUUGCCCAACUGUUCAGGAUUCGACCUCUGGGGUCUUAUAAAGCUGUGCCCUGCGGAGCAUCUGGUUAAAGUUAUACUUCUUUAUUAUUUUAGCUCCUUAGUCUAGUUUGGACAAAUUUUUAAAUGUUUAGGAUUAAGAUGACUUUUAAAUUUGCAGUAAUAUUAAUUUGAGUCAAAUAAGGGUCUUUUAUGCCCCUACUCCUUUGAGAUAUUGAAUAAAGUGUUGACAUUUAAACGGCUGGAUUGACAAACAAUGGCAUACCAUGUAUAUCCCUUAACUUCAUAAAAACCAGAAAUUACAAAGAUAAAUUUUUUUUUAUUAUAUUUUCAGAUCACAAUUAUGUUAACCUGAUCAUAGGAGGUUUAUCUAGAAACAUGAGAAGCAUUACAAGCCUGCAUAGAUUAUACACACAAAUGGAAUAGACUCUCACUUUAAAAGAACUUACAAACAAGACUUAAGAACUCAUAAAAAAAAAUAAUUCAUGUGUCAAUGAGUGAAUUGGAGUGAUUCUAAUUGCACAUGAAAAUUUGUGUGCAUUUAAUACAUGUAUU